rnacentral:rRNA from 1 species
UUUAGACCGUCGUGAGACAGGUCGGACUUUAUCUGCUGGGAGUGUUGGCUGCCUGAGGGGAAAGGGUCCCUAGUACGAGAGGAACGGGACGCUGUGGCCACUAGUUAACCGGUUGUCCGACAGGGCAUACGCCGGGCAGCCACGCCGUUGAGGAUAAGGGCUGAAAGCAUCUAAGCCCGAAGCCUCUCCCGAAAAUAGGC